UACAGAAGGUGCGAGCGUUAAUCGGAAUUACUGGGCGUAAAGCGUGCGUAGACGGCUAUCUAAGUCGGGUGUGAAAGCCCCGGGCUCAACCUGGGAAUUGCAUUCGAGACUGAAUAGCUAGGGUACGGUAGAGGGAAGCGGAAUUUCCGGUGUAGCGGUGAAAUGCGUAGAUAUCGGAAGGAACACCAGUGGCGAAAGCGGCUUCCUGGACCAGUACCGACGUUCAGGCACGAAAGCGUGGGGAGCAAACAGG
rnacentral:rRNA from 1 species